UGAUAUCACAACUGUCACGGGAUAUUCAUGGUUUUAUUUUAUACCAUUCAGUAAGACGACGAUAAGCUUCUGACUACAUUCAGUCUCGAUUCACUCGCUCAAGGUAUACAACACAUAAGGAAAUGAUGUUUAAGAAACUUAUCUUUUUCUGCCUGGUGGUAGCGAUAGUUUCGCAGCGAUACAACGGAAGAAGUCUCCAGCUCCAUAGAUACAUCUCCCACAACAUCCAGCAUUGAGAACCCAACUUUAGAAGAACUAACGAAACACGGGGCGAACCCAAAGAAUAAAGGAAUUUCUCUUCGUUCCUCAGACUCGCUUUUCGGACUCGGGAUCGGUGCAAAUCUCCUAGGAGUGCAUGCAGGCGCAGGUAUAGGCCAUGGCCGUGGAGGCUAUGGUGAUAUGGGCCAAGGGUUUGUUGGCAAACCUGCAGGAGGCCAAUACCCACAAUAUCCACAGUAUACAAAUUAUCCAUACCCUACGUAUAUGCAACCACAACCAUACUACCUGCCAGCAGCUCGUCUACACCAGUGAACGUCUCAAGGAAUGCUACUAU